rnacentral:rRNA from 1 species
UACGUAGGGGGCAAGCGUUGUCCGGAUUUAUAGGGCGUAAAGAGCGUGUAGGCGGUCAGGUAGGUCCGUUGUGAAAACUCGAGGCUCAACCUCGAGACGCCGAUGGAAACCAUCUGACUAGAGUCCGGAAGAGGAGAGUGGAAUUCCUGGUGUAGCGGUGAAAUGCGCAGAUAUCAGGAAGAACACCCGUGGCUAAGGCGGCUCUCUAGUACGGUACUGACGCUGAGACGCGAAAGCGUGGGGAGCGAACAGG